UACGAAGGGGGCUAGCGUUGCUCGGAAUGGCUGGGCGUAAAGGGCGCGUAGGCGGCGGUCACAGUCAGAUGUGAAAUUCCUGGGCUUAACCUGGGGGCUGCAUUUGAUACGUGGUUGCUUGAGUGGGGAAGAGGGUCGUGGAAUUCCCAGUGUAGAGGUGAAAUUCGUAGAUAUUGGGAAGAACACCGGUGGCGAAGGCGGCGACCUGGUCCUUGACUGACGCUGAGGCGCGAAAGCGUGGGGAGCAAACAGG
rnacentral:rRNA from 1 species